CUACGGGCCGCAGCAGUGGGGAAUAUUGGACAAUGGGCGCAAGCCUGAUCCAGCAAUACCGCGUGUGUGAAGAAGGCCUGCGGGUUGUAAAGCACUUUCAAUUGGGAAGAAAAGCUUGGGGCUAAUAUCCUCGAGUCUUGACGUUACCUUUAGAAGAAGCACCGGCUAACUCCGUGCCAGCAGCCGCGGUAAUACGGAGGGUGCAAGCGUUAAUCGGAAUUACUGGGCGUAAAGCGCGCGUAGGCGGUUUGUUAAGUCAGAUGUGAAAGCCCUGGGCUCAACCUGGGAACUGCAUUUGAUACUGGCAGACUAGAAUCUGGUAGAGGGAAGUGGAAUUCCGGGUGUAGCGGUGAAAUGCGUAGAGAUCCGGAGGAACAUCAGUGGCGAAGGCGACUUCCUGGACCAAGAUUGACGCUGAGGUGCGAAAGCGUGGGUAGCAAACAGGAUUAGAUACCCGCGUAGUC
rnacentral:rRNA from 1 species